rnacentral:rRNA from 1 species
CACAUGCAAGUCGAACGGUAACAGGAAGCAGCUUGCUGCUUUGCUGACGAGUGGCGGACGGGUGAGUAAUGUCUGGGAAACUGCCUGAUGGAGGGGGAUAACUACUGGAAACGGUGGCUAAUACCGCAUAACGUCGCAAGACCAAAGAGGGGGACCUUCGGGCCUCUUGCCAUCAGAUGUGCCCAGAUGGGAUUAGCUUGUUGGUGAGGUAACGGCUCACCAAGGCGACGAUCCCUAGCUGGUCUGAGAGGAUGACCAGCCACACUGGAACUGAGACACGGUCCAGACUCCUACGGGAGGCAGCAGUGGGGAAUAUUGCACAAUGGGCGCAAGCCUGAUGCAGCCAUGCCGCGUGUAUGAAGAAGGCCUUCGGGUUGUAAAGUACUUUCAGCGGGGAGGAAGGUGUUGUGGUUAAUAACCGCAGCAAUUGACGUUACCCGCAGAAGAAGCACCGGCUAACUCCGUGCCAGCAGCCGCGGUAAUACGGAGGGUGCAAGCGUUAAUCGGAAUUACUGGGCGUAAAGCGCACGCAGGCGGUCUGUCAAGUCGGAUGUGAAAUCCCCGGGCUCAACCUGGGAACUGCAUUCGAAACUGGCAGGCUUGAGUCUUGUAGAGGGGGGUAGAAUUCCAGGUGUAGCGGUGAAAUGCGUAGAGAUCUGGAGGAAUACCGGUGGCGAAGGCGGCCCCCUGGACAAAGACUGACGCUCAGGUGCGAAAGCGUGGGGAGCAAACAGGAUUAGAUACCCUGGUAGUCCACGCCGUAAACGAUGUCUACUUGGAGGUUGUGCCCUUGAGGCGUGGCUUCCGGAGCUAACGCGUUAAGUAGACCGCCUGGGGAGUACGGCCGCAAGGUUAAAACUCAAAUGAAUUGACGGGGGCCCGCACAAGCGGUGGAGCAUGUGGUUUAAUUCGAUGCAACGCGAAGAACCUUACCUGGUCUUGACAUCCACAGAACUUUCCAGAGAUGGAUUGGUGCCUUCGGGAACUGUGAGACAGGUGCUGCAUGGCUGUCGUCAGCUCGUGUUGUGAAAUGUUGGGUUAAGUCCCGCAACGAGCGCAACCCUUAUCCUUUGUUGCCAGCGGUCCGGCCGGGAACUCAAAGGAGACUGCCAGUGAUAAACUGGAGGAAGGUGGGGAUGACGUCAAGUCAUCAUGGCCCUUACGACCAGGGCUACACACGUGCUACAAUGGCGCAUACAAAGAGAAGCGACCUCGCGAGAGUAAGCGGACCUCAUAAAGUGCGUCGUAGUCCGGAUUGGAGUCUGCAACUCGACUCCAUGAAGUCGGAAUCGCUAGUAAUCGUGGAUCAGAAUGCCACGGUGAAUACGUUCCCGGGCCUUGUACACACCGCCCGUCACACCAUGGGAGUGGGUUGCAAAAGAAGUAGGUAGCUUAACCUUCGGGGGGGCGCUUACCACUUUGUGAUUCAUGACUGGGGUGAAGUCGUAACAAGGUA